UACCAGCACCCCGAGUGGUCGGGACGAUUAUUGGGCCUAAAGCAUCCGUAGCCGGUCCUACAAGUCUUCCGUUAAAUCCACCUGCUCAACAGAUGGGCUGCGGAAGAUACUAUAGGGCUAGGAGGCGGGAGAGGCAAGAGGUACUCAGUGGGUAGGGGUAAAAUCCUCUGAUCCAUUGAAGACCACCAGUGGCGAAGGCGGCUUGCCAGAACGCGCUCGACGGUGAGGGAUGAAAGCUGGGGGAGCAAACCGG
rnacentral:rRNA from 1 species